GAUGAACGCUGGCAGCGUGCCUAAUACAUGCAAGUCGAGCGAACAGACGAGGAGCUUGCUCCUCUGACGUUAGCGGCGGACGGGUGAGUAACACGUGGAUAACCUACCUAUAAGACUGGGAUAACUUCGGGAAACCGGAGCUAAUACCGGAUAAUAUAUUGAACCGCAUGGUUCAAUAGUUCAAGACGGUUUUGCUGUCACUAAUAGAUGGAUUCGCGCCGGAUUAGCUAGUUGGUAAGGUAACGGCUUACCAAGGCAACGAUGCGUAGCCGACCUGAGAGGGUGAUCGGCCACACUGGAACUGAGACACGGUCCAGACUCCUACGGGAGGCAGCAGUAGGGAAUCUUCCGCAAUGGGCGAAAGCCUGACGGAGCAACGCCGCGUGAGUGAUGAAGGUCUUCGGAUCGUAAAGCUCUGUUAUUAGGGAAGAACAAAUGUGUAAGUAACUAUGCACGUCUUGACGGUACCUAAUCAGAAAGCCACGGCUAACUACGUG
rnacentral:rRNA from 1 species